rnacentral:rRNA from 1 species
UACGUAGGUGGCAAGCGUUGUCCGGAUUUACUGGGCGUAAAGAGCGCGCAGGCGGUCGUUCAAGUCGCGUGUGAAAGCCCCCGGCUCAACUGGGGAGGGUCACGCGAUACUGAUCGACUCGAAGGCAGGAGAGGGAAGUGGAAUUCCCGGUGUAGUGGUGAAAUGCGCAGAUAUCAGGAGGAACACCAAUGGCGAAGGCAGCACUCUGGGACGUGACUGACGCUGAGACGCGAAAGCGUGGGGAGCAAACAGG